AUGAUUGCCAACUACCAGAUAAAUUGGAUGAAAACCUCUUUAUCCAACCAAUCUUAAGGUAUAUAUUAAAAUAAUGUAUAUUAAUCAUAUUUAAACCUCCUUGUGGAAUAUCUCCGAUUAAAGUACUUCGUUUAAUUCGAUCAGGUUUUCCACUCCAUAUGAAUUGAAAGAAUAAAGUAUUCAAUUCAUUUAAUUUUGACUCUGGCAAGUUGGGUAGUGCAGUCAACAGGUGAAUUAUUUUUGCUUUUUUUACUGUGGGCUUUCAAGCAAGUGAUAAAUUAAUUUGCUUUCGAUAUUUGAAUUUAUAAUUUGGAAAGAUUUAUUUACAUUUUGCUGUAAGUUUUAUUCCUGUAUAUUAUAAAUAGCUAUUGACCAUUAUUAUUAGAUUUUUCAUCCAUCAGCUUUUUGUAUCU